rnacentral:rRNA from 1 species
GACGAACCGAGCGAACGUUGUUCGGAAUUACUGGGCGUAAAGCGCAUGUAGGCGGCAGCGCAAGUCGGGCGUGAAAUCCCACGGCUCAACCGUGGAAGUGCACUCGAAACUGCGCAGCUAGAGUCCUGGAGAGGAAGGUGGAAUGCUUGGUGUAGAGGUGAAAUUCGUAGAUAUCAAGCGGAACACCGGUGGCGAAGGCGGCCUUCUGGACGAGGACUGACGCUGAGACGCGAAAGCGUGGGGAGCAAACAGG